CACAUCAGUUCCUCUUCAGUUGCUGCCUUUCCACAUUGAAUCCUGUCAGUGUCAUGAUAAUGAUUCUUGCCCAAUAUGUGGAGAGCAAUUUGAUGCUGAGGCGAUGGCCCUCCAUGCAAGUUCAUGUGGGGAAAGUUUUUCUCUGAAUUCCAUGAUGGUGGCUGCAUCUGAAAACCGCACUUCAGCACCAGAUGUUUCCACAAGCAGUGUCACUGAAAGCAGCCUUGCUAGCCCAUCCAAUUAUGUGUACUUAACACCUGGCACAUCACAAACCAUACCAACAGGGCCAGUACCUGCAAUGUCUGACGCCUGGAAGAGGGUUGAAGUUCCAGAGAGGGCAGCGAUAUUAUACAGAAGGUAUUUGCUACAGGAAAAAGAGGAUGAACCAACACUGAAAGUAAGACUUGACAUGAGAGAGGAUGUUGAAGAUCAGGAGGGAAGACUAAUCAGCUUUUACAAGGUUUAUAAAGUAGAUUGGGCCAGACCACUCCAUUGCAGAUUGGAAGGUAACUACAUUUUACAAAUAUAUUGCACCUAAAUUAAUAUGUAGUUGAUUCAUUUGACAAGUAACAAUAGUAUUUGUUUUAUAGGUGAUGUAGCAACUGGAGAGGGUGUGAAACGCCAUUUCUUCAGCCUAGUGAUGCACAAGUUGCAGAACGGA